rnacentral:rRNA from 1 species
CGCGGCCUAUCAGCUUGUUGGUGGGGUGAUGGCCUACCAAGGCGACGACGGGUAGCCGGCCUGAGAGGGUGAUCGGCCACAUUGGGACUGAGAUACGGCCCAGACUCCUACGGGAGGCAGCAGUGGGGAAUAUUGCACAAUGGGCGGAAGCCUGAUGCAGCGACGCCGCGUGAGGGAUGACGGCCUUCGGGUUGUAAACCUCUUUCAGCAGGGACGAAGCGUAAGUGACGGUACCUGCAGAAGAAGCACCGGCUAACUAUGUGCCAGCAGCCGCGGUAAUACGUAGGGUGCGAGCGUUGUCCGGAAUUACUGGGCGUAAAAGCUCGUAGGCGGUUUGUCACGUCGUCUGUGAAAUCCUAGGGCUUAACCCUGGACGUGCAGGCGAUACGGGCUGACUUGAGUACUACAGGGGAGACUGGAAUUUCUGGUGUAGCGGUGGAAUGCACAGAUAUCAGGAAGAACACCGAUGGCGAAGGCAGGUCUCUGGGUAGUAACUGACGCUGAGGAGCGAAAGCAUGGGUAGCGAACAGGAUUAGAUACCCUGGUAGUCCAUGCCGUAAACGGUGGGCGCUAGGUGUGGGGUUCCUUCCACGGGCUCCGCGCCGUAGCUAACGCAUUAAGCGCCCCGCCUGGGGAGUACGG